AUUGAACGCUGGCGGCAGGCCUAACACAUGCAAGUCGAACGAGUGGCGGACGGGUGAGUAAUGUCUGGGAAACUGCCCGAUGGAGGGGGAUAACUACUGGAAACGGUAGCUAAUACCGCAUACCAUCGGAUGUGCCCAGCUGGGCUUAGCUAGGAGGUGGGGUAACGGCUCACCUAGGCGACGAUCCCUCGCUGGUCUGAGAGGAUGACCAGCCACACUGGAACGGAGACACGGUCGAGACUCCUACGGGAGGCAGCAGGGGGGAAUAUGGCACAAUGGGCGCAAGCCUGAUGCAGCCAUGCCGCGUGUAUGAAGAAGGCCUUGGUGUUGUAAAGGACUUGCAGCGGGGAGGCGUGAGCCGAAGAAGAAGCACCGGCUAACUCCGUGCCAGCAGCCGCGGUAAUAC
rnacentral:rRNA from 1 species